rnacentral:rRNA from 1 species
GGUCAAGUUAUUAAGGGUGCAGGGCGGAUGCCUUGGCACUAGGAGCCGAUGAAGGACGUGAUAAGCUGCGAUAAGCUUCGGGGAGUUGCACGUAAACUUUGAUCCGAAGAUUUCCGAAUGAGGAAACUCACUUAGAGUAAUGUCUAAGUAUCAUUAAGUGAAUACAUAGCUUAAUGAGGGGAACUCAGGGAACUGAAACAUCUAAGUACCUGAAGGAAGAGAAAGAAAUUCGAUUCCGUAAGUAGCGGCGAGCG